rnacentral:lncRNA from 1 species
AAAUGUAUUAAAAAAUCACUAUACAUUACGAAUGCCAAAUUAGAAAUAUAAAUAUUAAUAUUAUAGAGUUAUACAAUAUAUAAUGCUAAAAUAAAAAUUAUAUAUUUAAAAUAUUUGUAAUAAUAUAAAAUACAUUUAUAAAAUAAAAAAAUAUCCGCACGGACGUGCGGGUUAAAAUCUAGUUUAGUUUGAAAAAGAUGUUUUGCGGUCUAUUGAUAAAUUAAAUCGAUUAUAUGAAAAUAAAAAUUAUGUUAUAUUUUUUUACUAAGCUAUAUCGUUAUUAUUUUUCAAAAUAAAUAUAAUAAUGAAACAGAAGCAAAAAAAAAAAAAAAUUGAAAAAAAUUCUCUUCAGAAAUCCCUUAUAUACUAAAGCGCAAGUCGCUUGACGAAUCAAAACUAGACAUAUGGCAAUCAUUUUGCAAAAAAAAUUGAAUUUUUUCUUUCAUCUCCAUUUCUUCUACGGUCAAAAAUGAUGUCUCAACCAACUUCCUUAUUUUUCUCAAAAUAAUUUAGGAUGAAACUUCAGCAGAUCCUAAAUCAUACUUUAACAUAAAAACAUUUUGGUUGAGAUUUCAGCAGAUCCUUAAUUUUAACGUAAAAUUUUCAGCGAUCCUAAAUUAAUACAACACUAGAAUUAUUUACGUUAGUUUAUAUAUUUGAUAUAUUUUCUUCAUCUCCUAAAUGCUACACUAAUUUUAUUUUCUUCUUUUUGGUAUUUCUCACACGAUACCAUGAUCUCCUCACGUUCUUAAAACAGUUAAUUUUUCAUACAAGAGAGUUGACUCAACGACGCUAUAAAAUUCAUCUCUACUCCAUUUUUCUAAAUUAUUUUAAAUGGUUCCACUGAUUCUCUCUUUCUGAAAAUCUGAUGAGUUUCAGUUUUAUCGAUAAACUAGAUUUUGACCCGCCCUUCAAAGGGCGGGUAUAUAUUUUAUUUUAACUUUUUUUUUUAAAUUUAAUUUUUAUAUUUCUGUAUUUUUUGUAAUUAUAUAUGUGUAUAAAUUUUAAUCAUAAUUUAUUUUAUCAAAUAAUAGUAAUUUAAAAGUUGAUCCAACAUACAUUCGGUUCUUUGUAAUUAUAUUGUAUGUUCUGGAUUUUGACCCGUAUGUAUAACGUUGGUUUGUAUUUUUUUUUGUUUUCUAUGUUUCUAUAUAUAUGUUUCUAGAAAUUUAAUUUAUAUCUAACUAUGUAUUCAUUUUAUUUAAGAAGCUUCUUAUUAUUCUCUUUAUACAAUUAUAUCUAAUUUAUUUAAGGGAAAUUAUCAAUAAAUGUUACAUAUUUAUAGAAACAUAAAAAAAAAAAAUUACAAACCACCAUUAGAUCCGCGGGUCAAAAUCUAGAACAUAUAAUAUGAUUACAAAGAAACGGGUACACAAACAUAUAAUUACAAAGAACCGAACAUAUGUUGGAUCAACUUUUAAAUUUCUAUUAUUUUAUAAAAUAUAUUUUGAUUAAAAUUUAUACACAAAUAUGAUUACAAAAAAUACACAAAUAUAAAAUUAAUUUUUUUUUUUAAAUAUCAUUUUUGCCAACAAAUUUUUGAUUAAUGGCCCAUAUGGUGAAAGAAAAAAGAGAAUGCAUAUGGUGCAAGACAAAUAAAAGUAAACCAAAAAAUAAUAUUCAAAAAAUAGAAAUUAUAGUGGAGUACAUUGUACACGUCAAUUAUUGCAGUUAUAUUCAGAAGAAUUAGGACAGUUUUAUUUCACAAGCUUACGUCAUCAUCG